rnacentral:rRNA from 1 species
CCUACGGGUGGCAGCAGUGGGGAAUAUUGGGCAAUGGGCGCAAGCCUGAACCAGCAACGCCGCGUGAAGGAAGAAGGCUUUAGGGUUGUAAACUUCUUUUUUCAGGGACGAAGAAAGUGACGGUACUUGAGGAAUAAGCCACGGCUAACUACGUGCCAGCAGCCGCGGUAAUACGUAGGUGGCAAGCGGUAUCCGGAUUUAAUGGGUGUAAAGGGCGUGUAGGCGGGAGCGCAAGUCAGAUGUGAAAACUCAGGGCGCCACCCUGAGCCUGCAUUUGAAACUGUGUGUCUUGAGUGCUGGAGAGGCAGUCGGAAUGCCUGGUGUAGCGGUGAAAUGCGUAGAUAUACGGAGGAACACCAGUGGCGAAGGCAGAUUUCCGGACAGUAACUGACGCUGAGGCGCGAAAGCGUGGGGAGCAAACAGGAUUAGAUACCCGAGUAGUC